CCCUAACCCGCAAGGGAGGGAGCCGUCGAAAGGUAGGUUGAUGAUUGGGGUG
rnacentral:rRNA from 1 species